ensembl:lncRNA
ACGCACGCACAUAUUCCGGGUAAUCACUGGCAGUGUGAAAGUGCAAAAUCUAGCGACCCGGGUACAAAUGCCGGGACACAUUACCCGUGUAUUUGCCGGAAUCGCAGUGUGAAAGGGGCUUAUCUUUCUAUCUAUCUAUCUAUUUAUCUAUCUCUCUGUCUCUCUAUCUAUCUCUCUAUCUAUCUGUCUGUCUCUCUGUCUAUCUAUCUCUCUGUCUCUCUAUCUAUCUCUCUAUCUGUCUGUCUGUUGUCUGUGGUCUGUCUAUCAUCUAUCUAUCUAUCUAUUUAUCUUGCUAUCUAUCUAUCUAUCAGUCUGUCUAUCUAUCUGUCUUUCUGUCGCCUGUGGUCUGUCUAUCUAUCUGUCUAUCUCUCUGUCUGUCUGUCUAUCGGUCUCUGUCUGUCUAUCUAUCUAUCUGUCUGUCUGUCUAUCUAUUUAUCUGUCUAUCUGUCUGUCGUCUGUCUGUCUGUCUAUCUAUCUCUCUGUCUGUCUGUCUAUCUAUCUAUCUAUCUAUCUAUCUAUCUAUCUAUCUAUCUAUCUAUCUAUCUAUCUAUCUAUCUGUCUGUCUGUCUAUCUAUCUAUCUAUCUGUCUGUCUGUCUGUCUGUCUGUCUAUCUGUCUGUCUGUCGUCUGUGGUCUGUCUAUCAUCUAUCUAUCUAUCUAUCUAUCUAUCUAUCUAUCUAUCUAUCUAUCUAUCUAUCUAUCUAUCUAUCUAUCGGUCUGUCUAUCUAUCUGUCUGUUUGUCUAUCUGUCUGUCUAUCUAUCUGUCUGUCGUCUGUCUGUCUAUCUAUCUAUCUCUCUCUCUGUCUGUCUGUCUAUCGGUCUCUGUCUGUCUAUCUAUCUAUCUGUCUGUCUAUCUAUCUGUCUGUCUGUCUAUCUAUUUAUCUGUCUAUCUAUCUGUCUGUCUAUCUGUCUGUCUAUCUAUCUGUCUGUCUGUCUAUCUUUCUGUCUAUCUAUCUAUCUAUCAGUCUGUCUAUCUAUCUGUCUGUCUAUCUAUCUGUCUGUCGUCUGUCUGUCUGUCUAUCUAUCUAUCUAUCUAUCUAUCUGUCUGUCUGUCUGUCUGUCUGUCUAUCUGUCUGUCUAUCUAUAUCUAUCUGUCUUUCUAUCUAUCUGUCUGUCAUCUGUCUGUCUAUCUAUCUAUCUAUCUAUCUAUCUAUCUAUCUAUCUAUCUAUCUAUCUAUCUAUCUAUCUGUCUGUCUAUCUAUCUAUCUGUGGAUUUUAA